rnacentral:rRNA from 1 species
GACAGAGGGGGCGAGCGUUGUCCGGAAUCACUGGGCGUAAAGCGCGCGCAGGCGGCAACCUAAGUGUCGUGUGAAAGCCCCCGGCUCAACCGGGGGAGGCCAUGGCAAACUGGGUCGCUCGAGCUGCGGAGAGGCCCCUCGAAUUGCCGGUGUAGCGGUGAAAUGCGUAGAGAUCGGCAGGAAGACCAAGGGGGAAGCCACGGGGCUGGCCGCAUGCUGACGCUGAGGCGCGACAGCGUGGGGAGCAAACCGG